CUAGAGAUAGCUUAGUGCCUUCGGGAACUCUGAGACAGGUGCUGCAUGGCUGUCGUCAGCUCGUGUUGUGAAAUGUUGGGUUAAGUCCCGCAACGAGCGCAACCCUUAUCCUUGUUUGCCAGCACGUAAUGGUGGGAACUCCAGGGAGACUGCCGGUGAUAAACCGGAGGAAGGUGGGGACGACGUCAAGUCAUCAUGGCCCUUACGAGUAGGGCUACACACGUGCUACAAUGGCGUAUACAGAGGGCUGCAAGCUAGCGAUAGUGAGCGAAUCCCACAAAGUACGUCGUAGUCCGGAUUGGAGUCUGCAACUCGACUCCAUGAAGUCGGAAUCGCUAGUAAUCGUGAAUCAAAAUGUCACGGUGAAUACGUUCCCGGGUCUUGUACACACCG
rnacentral:rRNA from 1 species